GAAUAUAAUUUCAAGUCUGACCUGCCCACUGAGGAGUUAAAUGGCCGCGGUAUUUUGACCGUGCAAAGGUAGCAUAAUCACUAGUUUUUUAAUUGAAAGCUUGGAUGAAGGGUUUGAUGAAAAAGCUGCUGUCUCUUUGUAAAUUUUUUAAAAUUUUAUUUUUAAGUUAAAAAGCUUAGAUGUUAGUUGAAGACGAGAAGACCCUAUAGAGUUUUAUAUAUUUAAAUAAUUUUUGAUAUGAGGUUGUGAUUAUUAAAUUUUUAAAAAAUGUAUUUUGUUGGGGUGAUAAGAAAAUUUAUUUAACUUUUUUUUUAUUUUUAUAUUUAUUUAUAAAUUUAUGAUCCUAAUUUUUAGAUUAAAAGAUAAAAUUACCUUAGGGAUAACAGCGUAAUUGUUUUUAGAGUUCUUAUCGAAAAAAUGAGUUGCGACCUCGAUGUUGGAUUAAAAUUAAUUAUUGGUGUAGAGGCUAGUAAUGGGGGUCUGUUCGACCUUUAAAAUUUUACAUGAUCUGAGUUUAAACCGGUGUGAGC
rnacentral:rRNA from 1 species